UCCCUGGUGGCUUAACUGGUAAGAAUCUGCCUGCAAAGCAGGAGACCCAGGUUCGAUCCCUGGGUUGGAAA
rnacentral:tRNA from 1 species